rnacentral:rRNA from 1 species
GGGAACGAUUUAUUUUGAGGUUUAAGAAAAUUUGCUUAAAUGUAAAUGUAAGAAAAAUAUUUUUUGAAUUUGAGUACAUAAAUAGAAAUAAAGUUUUGGCGAUAGAUGAAAGUACUGUGAAGGAAAGUUGAAAUAUAUUUAAAAGAUAUUAAUAAAAAAGUAUAAAUAGAAUUUAGUACCUUGUGUAUUAGGGAUAUUUUAUGUUAAAUAAUUAUAUUUAUUUUUCCCGAAAUAAGGAUAGCUAAGUUGAAGGGUGAGUUUUUGUGUUAAAAAGAUUUAAAAUUUCAUCUUAGUAGUGAAAUGUUAAUCGUGCUUUAAUAUAUCUGGUUUUUUUUGAAAAAAAUUUAAUUUUUUCUUUAUUUAAAGGAAAAGUAAAGUAUAGGAGUAGAGGGGCUAAGCUCUUUAUUUCAUAAUUUAAACUAUGGUGAUACAGAAAAUUAGUUGUUGAACUAGGCUUAGAGGUAGCUAUGUUUUCAAAGGGUUAUACCUGGGACAUUAAUAGUGAAUAUUUAUGUAUUUUUUAGGGUAGUAAAAAAAGGUUUUUUGAGAUUAAAUUUAAAGAUUCAAAAUGAAUAUAUUAGUAUAUAACAUUCUGUUUAAUAUUUUUAUUAAUAAGGUUAAUAAAUUUUUUAAAAUGAUUGAUAGGACAAAGGAAUUCGGCAAAUAAUGUAUUUCCGCCUGUUUAUCAAAAACAUGUCUAUAUGAUAGUUUUAUAAAGUCUGGCCUGCCCGUUGGGGGAACUGAAAGGCCGCGGUAUUAUGACCGUGCGAAGGUAGCAUAAUCAUUAGUCUUUUAAUUGAAGGCUGGAAUGAAUGGUUGGACGAGAAAUAAGCUGUCUUUGUCUUAUAAAUUGAAUUUAACUUUUAAGUGAGAGGGCUUAAAUGUAUUAAAGGGACGAUAAGACCCUAUAAAGUUUAUACAUUCAAAUAAUUGAAAAUAAUUAAGAAAAAUUAAAGUUUAUUAUUAGGAAGAUGUUUAGUUGGGGCGACUAGGAUAUAAGUUAAUUUAACUGUCUUAAAUUAAAGUCAAAGAUAUUUGAGUUUGUGAUCCUUUUUUAGGAUUCAAGAACAAGUUACUUUAGGGAUAACAGCGUAAUUUUUUUUGAGAGUUCCUAUCGACAAAAGAGUUUACGACCUCGAUGUUGAAUUAAAAGUUUCUCUGGAGUGUAGCAAUUCCAGGAGAAGGUCUGUUCGACCUUUAAAUUUUUACAUGAUUUGAGUUCAGACCGGCGAGAGCCAGGUUGGUUUCUAUCUUUUAAGAAAUAUAAAAUUGUUUUAGUACGAAAGGAUUAAAUAAUUGAAAUAGUUUUCAUUAUAAUAGAAGGUUUUUAGUUGAUAUUUCAGCUAAAAAUAAAUUUCAGGGAAAAAAGCUAAAGCUUU